rnacentral:rRNA from 1 species
AGAGUUUGAUCCUGGCUCAGGAUGAACGCUAGCUACAGGCUUAACACAUGCAAGUCGAGGGGCAGCAUUAUCGAAGCUCGCUUUGAUAGAUGGCGACCGGCGCACGGGUGAGUAACGCGUAUCCAACCUUCCCCAUAGUCAGGAAUAGCCCGGCGAAAGUCGAAUUAAUGCCUGAUGUUUUCCACGGACGGCAUCAGAUGUGGAACAAAGAUUCAUCGCUAUGGGAUGGGGAUGCGUCUGAUUAGCUUGUUGGCGGGGUAACGGCCCACCAAGGCAACGAUCAGUAGGGGUUCUGAGAGGAAGGUCCCCCACAUUGGAACUGAGACACGGUCCAAACUCCUACGGGAGGCAGCAGUGAGGAAUAUUGGUCAAUGGGCGGAAGCCUGAACCAGCCAAGUAGCGUGAGGGACGACUGCCCUAUGGGUUGUAAACCUCUUUUAUAAGGGAAUAAAAUACGGGACGUGUCCUGUUUUGCAUGUACCUUAUGAAUAGGGACCGGCUAAUUCCGUGCCAGCAGCCGCGGUAAUACGGAAGGUCCAGGCGUUAUCCGGAUUUAUUGGGUUUAAAGGGAGCGCAGGCGGUCUUAUAAGCGUGACGUGAAAUGCAGCGGCUCAACCGUAUGAUGUGCGUCGCGAACUGUAGGACUUGAGUGUAUUCGAUGUCAGCGGAAUUUGUGGUGUAGCGGUGAAAUGCUUAGAUAUCACGAAGAACUCCGAUUGCGAAGGCAGCUGACAAGGCUACAACUGACGCUAAAGCUCGAAAGUGCGGGUAGCGAACGGGAUAAGAUACCCCGGUAGUCCACGCGGUAAACGAGGGAUACUAGGGGGUAGGAGGUAUGGACCCCUUAUGUGCGGCAGCUAACGCAUUAAGUAUCCCGCCUGGGGAGUACGGCCGCAAGGUUGAAACUCAAAGGAAUUGACGGGGGCCCGCACAAGUGGUGGAGCAUGUGGUUUAAUUCGACGCUACGCGAAGAACCUUACCUGGGUUUGACAUGGACCGGAAUAAUUUAGAGAUAGAUUAGCCUUCGGGUCGGUUCACAGGUGCUGCAUGGCUGUCGUCAGCUCGUGCCGUGAGGUGUUGGGUUAAGUCCCGCAACGAGCGCAACCCCUAUUUUCAGUUACUAACGGGUGAUGCCGAGGACUCUGGAGAGACUGCCGUUAUAAGACGGAGGAAGGUGGGGAUGACGUCAAGUCAGCAUGGCCCUUACGUCCAGGGCUACACACGUGCUACAAUGGUCGGUACAAAGGGCAGCGAGCUCGCGAGGGUAAGCGAAUCCCGCAAAGCCGAUCUCAGUCCGGAUUGCAGGCUGCAAUUCGCCUGCAUGAAGUCGGAAUCACUAGUAACCGCAGAUCAGCUACGCUGCGGUGAAUACGUUCCCGGGCCUUGCACACACCGCCCGUCAAG